ACGGGUGAGUAAUAUGUAGGAAAUCUGCCCUAGAGAGGGGGACAACAGAGGGAAACUUCUGCUAAUACCCCAUAUGAGCUACCUUGAAAUAGGUAUCUUGAAAACUCCGGUGCUCUAGGAUGAGCCUGCAUCUGAUUAGCUUGUUGGUAGGGUAAUGGCCUACCAAGGCGACGAUCAGUAGCUGGUUUGAGAGGAUGAUCAGCCACAAUGGGACUGAGACACGGCCCAUACUCCUACGGGAGGCAGCAGUAGGGAAUCUUGCGCAAUGGGCGAAAGCCUGACGCAGCAACGCCGCGUGAACGAUUAAGCCCCUCGGGGUGUAAAGUUCUGUCAGUGGGGACGAAACUUGACGGUACCCACAGAGGAAGCACCGGCUAACUCCGUGCCAGCAGCCGCGGUAAUACGGAGGGUGCAAGCGUUGUCCGGAAUCAUUGGGCGUAAAGAGUUCGUAGAUGGCAUGUAAAGUCUGGUGUUAAAUCCCGAAGCUCAACUUCGGUUCUGCACCGGAUACUUGCAAGCUAGAAUGCGGUAGAGGUAAAGGGAAUUCCUGGUGUAGCGGUGAAAUGCGUAGA
rnacentral:rRNA from 1 species